UAAAAUUUACUAACUGCAAACAGCUUUAUAGAUUUAUAAAAAUUUAAUUUCGAUUGUUGAAAGGUUUAUCCGAAUCUGCAAAAAAUGGUGAUCGGGUUGAUUUGCCAGCGGCUUGUGUUUCACCGUCAGCAGUAACAUUAAAGCAAACAUUUACUACCCCACGGAAGGAAUAUAUAACCACCAGAAACCAGAACCAGCCAGAAAUUAGGAAGAGAUUAACACCUUCUGGAUCAAGCGUCUCGAAUGUGGAACAACCAAAAAUAACAAGAAGACAAUUAUUCUCUUCUUCAUCGCAAAUACAUACAUCUCCCCGUCCUACUGCUUUUGUGGACAGUUCAUUGGGUGUAAG